rnacentral:rRNA from 1 species
UACGUAGGGGGCUAGCGUUAUCCGGAUUUACUGGGCGUAAAGGGUGCGUAGGUGGUUUCUUAAGUCAGGAGUGAAAGGCUACGGCUCAACCGUAGUAAGCUCUUGAAACUGGUAAACUUGAGUGCAGGAGAGGAAAGUGGAAUUCCUAGUGUAGCGGUGAAAUGCGUAGAUAUUAGGAGGAACACCAGUAGCGAAGGCGGCUUUCUGGACUGUAACUGACACUGAGGCACGAAAGCGUGGGGAGCAAACAGG